UACGAGGGGGGCAAGCGUUGUUCGGAUUUAUUGGGCGUAAAGGGCGCGUAGGCGGUGAGAUGCGUCCGUUGUGAAAUCGCUCGGCUCAACUGGGCGGGGUCAGCGGAUACGGCGUGGCUGGAGCAAGCUAGGGGGCAAUGGAAUUCCCGGUGUAGUGGUGGAAUGCGUAGAUAUCGGGAGGAACACCAGUGGCGAAGGCGGUUGCCUGGAGCUUUGCUGACGCUGAUGCGCGAAAGCGUGGGGAGCGAGUCCGG
rnacentral:rRNA from 1 species